CUACGGGGUGCUGCAGUGAGGAAUAUUGGUCAAUGGGCGAGAGCCUGAACCAGCCAAUCCGCGUGCAGGAUGACGGCCCUAUGGGUUGUAAACUGCUUUUGUAUGGGAAGAACUCCCUGACGUGUCAGGGGCUGACGGUACCAUACGAAUAAGCAUCGGCUAACUCCGUGCCAGCAGCCGCGGUAAUACGGAGGAUGCGAGCGUUAUCCGGAUUUAUUAGGUUUAAAGGGUGCGUAGGCUGAAUAGUCAGUCAGUGGUGAAAUCCUACGGCUUAACCGUAGAACUGCCAUUGAUACUGCUAUUCUUGAGUACAGUUGAGGUAGGCGGAAUGUGUAGUGUAGCGGUGAAAUGCUUAGAUAUUACACAGAACACCGAUUGCGAAGGCAGCUUACUAAACUGUCACUGACGCUGAGGCACGAAAGCGUGGGGAGCGAACAGGAUUAGAUACCCGCGUAGUC
rnacentral:rRNA from 1 species